rnacentral:rRNA from 1 species
AUGGAUAGUAAUAGGGCCCCGGGCCCAGGUAACAUUCCAGCUGAGUUCUACAAACACUGCUGGGAUUUUCUUAAAACUGAUAUCAUGCGCUUGUUUCAUGCUUUUCACAAUAACACCUUGGAUGUGGCGCGCUUAAACUAUGGGAUGAUCACCUUGAUCCCUAAGAUCAAUGGUGCAAAAAAGAUCUAGCAAUACCGUCCCAUUUGCCUACUUAGAUGCCCGUACAAGCUGAUCACUAAAGUGAUGGAUAAUAGAGUGGCCAUCUUUGCUGACAAGCUUAUCAGCAAACAUCAAUAUGCUUUCAUUAAGCAUAGAAAUAUCAUGGAUGGGAUUCUCACCCUCCAUGAGGUCUUACAUCAUACACAUCAUAAGAAGAAAAUUGGGGUGGUUCUGAAACUGAACUUUGAAAAAGCAUAUGACAAAAUAAAUUGGGACUUUCUCCUUGAAUGUCAUAGAAACAGAGGAUUUGGUACAACCUGGUGUGGCUGGGUGAAAAAAAUACUAAGUAAUGGUACGGUCAGUAUUAAACUGAACAAUGUGACAGGGCCUUACUUUCAAUGCCACAAAGGGGUACGCCAGGGCGACCCUCAUUCUCCUUAUUUGUUUAAUCUUGUGGUGGAGACUCUAUCUAAGAUGAUUCGAAAUUCCCAAAAGGAAAAAAAAUGA